GUAGAUAAGAGGAGUCAGGAACAGACAGGGUUUAAGGUAGAUAAGAGGAGUCAGGAACAGACAGGGUUUAAGGUAGAUAAGAGGAGUCAGGAACAGACUGAGGGUUUAAGGUAGAUAAGAGGAGUCAGGAACAGACUGAUGGGUUUAAGGUAGAUAAGAGGAGUCAGGAACAGACUGAGGGUUUAAGGUAGAUAAGAGGAGUCAGGGACAGACUGAGGGUUUAAGGUAGAUAAGAGGAGUCAGGGACAGACUGAGGGUUUAAGGUAGAUAAGAGGAGUCAGGGACAGACUGAGGGUUUAAGGUAGAUAAGAGGAGUCAGGGACAGACUGAGGGUUUAAGGUAGAUAAGAGGAACAGAGUAGAAAAAAAGACCAACCUUUCUCCU